AUUGAACGCUGGCGGCAGGCUUAACACAUGCAAGUGAAGUAAAGUGGCGAACGGGUGAGUAACGCGUAUCAACCUGCCCUUCAGCGGGGGAUAACAGUUGGAACCGACUCCUAAUACCGCUUACUGAAUGACGGGAUUGCGUCUGAUUAGCUCGUUGGAGGGGUAACGGCCCACCAAGGCGAUGAUCAGUAGCUGGUCUGAGAGGAGGACCAGCCACACUGGAACUGAGACACGGUCCAGACUCCUACGGGAGGCAGCAGUGGGGAAUAUUGCACAAUGGGCGCAAGCCUGAUGCAGCCAUGCCGCGUGUAUGAAGAAGGCCUUCGGGUUGUAAAGUACUUUCAGCGGGGAGGCGUUACCCGCAGAAGAAGCACCGGCUAACUCCGGCCAGCAGCCGCGGUAAUAC
rnacentral:rRNA from 1 species